GACGAACGCUGGCGGCGUGCCUAAUACAUGCAAGUAGAACGCACAGUUUAUACCGUAGCUUGCUACACCAUAGACUGUGAGUUGCGAACGGGUGAGUAACGCGUAGGUAACCUGCCUGGUAGCGGUGGAUAACUAUUGGAAACGAUAGCUAAUACCUCAUAAUAUUGAUUAUUGCAUGAUAAUUGAUUGAAAGAUGCUAUUGCAUCACUACCAGCUGGACCUGCGUUGUAUUAGCUAGUAGGUGAGGUAACGGCUCACCUAGGCGACGAUACAUAGCCGAACUGAGAGGGGGAUCGGCCAAACUGGGACUGGGAAAAGGCCCAGACUCCUAAGGGAGGGAGCAGUAGGGAAUCUUCGGCAAUGGACGAAAGGCUGAACGAGCAAAGCCGCGGGAGGGAAGAAGGGUUUCGGAUCGUAAAGAUCUGUUGAAAGGGAAGAACGGGUGUGAGAGGGGAAAGUGCACACUGUGACGGUAGCUAACCAGAAAGGGACGGCUAACUACGUG
rnacentral:rRNA from 1 species